rnacentral:rRNA from 1 species
UACGGAGGGUGCGAGCGUUGUCCGGAAUCACUGGGCGUAAAGGGCGCGUAGGCGGCUCGGUAAGUAGGGGGUGAAAUCCUGCGGCUUAACCGCAGGGCUGCCUUCUAAACUGUCGAGCUCGAGCACGGUAGAGGCAGAUGGAAUUCCCGGUGUAGCGGUGGAAUGCGUAGAGAUCGGGAAGAACAUCAGUGGCGAAGGCGGUCUGCUGGGCCGUGCUGACGCUGAGGCGCGACAGCGUGGG